rnacentral:lncRNA from 1 species
GGCUGCCGAGCGAGAAGGGCCGCCCCCACCCGCCCAGGAGAAGGUCCCCGCCUGCAUGGGCUCUGACCUCUUGGCCAGUUAACAGGAACCAACCUCUGCUCCCUGCACCUUAAAAUGGGUAAAUUGCGAUCCACACACGGAGAAGGACGGGGCAGAGUCCUCAGACCUCUUACCCCAGAUGUAUUCAUUAUGGAUCCUCGAAUACCAUGGCUCAAAAGGCGGGGGAUGGACUUUGCCUGCCAGGGGACAUCUGAUCUUUUGCAUCUCCAAUUGUUGAAUACCUGGAGUCUGAAAAUGCCAUUUACGAUGUCAUUUAUGUUUAGCAUUAUAAAUGGGGUCAAGAAUGUUUAUAUUUUAAAUGUGUCUCUAUUUAAUCCUGAUUGUCAAUGGAAGCCCCAGCAUACAAAAGCCACACAUUAUGUUUCAGGGGAGAGAUUAUGCCAGUUGGUUGGGUGCCUUGUGUUCUAUUAAAGCUGAAGCCAGGCUCCCUGUCAGACUGUUACAGCUCAACACGUUGGAAUCUUCCAGCAGCGAGCACAGGUGUCUUGCACCAAUGGCUCCUUGUGCGCAGAGGGGAGAGCAGAUCCGGACCACUGGAGCAUGGCUCUCGGCCACCCUAGAACAUUCUCCCUAUUAUCCAGUCAGGCCUGGGAGAACCAGCCUGCCCGACAGCUAACAGCUGUCAGGGGACACCUGUAAUUGAGUCAAGUCGACAAGCAGGGACUGCGUAAGGCAAGAACGAGAAGUUUCCAAAACCCUCUUCCUUGUAUACCUCACACUGUGUCCACGACUCACGCUGUGAAACCAGAUCUCUUCUUCCCUGUGUGUCAACUUUGCCCUUAAGAUAAGGACAAAGGCUCCUUAGGGCCUGCGAGGACCUGCCUAAACUCUUUUUCUCUCUACUCCUGCCACACCAACCUUCAUUCCAAUCCUCACCUAAGCUGUACGGUCCCACCUCAGGGCCUUUGCACAUGCUGUUCUCAUUUCCUCAAGCUUCCCUGCACUAUCCCCAUGAUACCUACUUAACUCACCUGCUCCUUUAAUAGGUUAUUAGCCCAGCCAUCACUUCCUUGAGAACAGGUCCCAGACCUCCCUCAGUCAAAUCUCUCUAAUACACAUUUCCUUCAGAGCUCCCCUCAUACUGAUGCAGUUUUACAACUAUGUAACUAUUCGAAUAAAAUCUGGCUAGGAUGCA